rnacentral:tRNA from 1 species
GGGCGGUUAGCUCAGUUGGUAGAGCGCCAGCCUUACAAGCUGGAUGUCACAAGUUCAAGUCUUGUACCGCCCACCA